CUUAUUUUUAUAACGUGCUUUCAUUGCGCUAUCGAGUGCAGUUCUGUGUGCCUUGGGUAUGUGCUGUGGUUUGCUGUAUUGAAAGCGUUUUACGUAGGAUGUGUUUAGUGCCUAGUAGUGCUACUUUUUGUAGUGCUAUUUUCUCUAUGAUAUAUAAAAUUGCUUGUCCUGGUGUUUUUGUUAUGUAUUUGUCUGAAUAUUAUUAUUAUUAUUAUUAUCAUUAUUAUUAUUAUUAUUAUUAUUAUUAUUAUUAUUAUUAUUAUUAUUAUUAUUAUUAUAGAAAGGAUUGAGGUAACUCCUCCUGAAGAUAUAGAGCCAAAAUUAAACGAAGAGUGUCAUUUGUUAUCUUGUGAACAAUAUUUCCACAUCUCGCGUGUCUUCGACUGGUUCAAAAAAUAAAUUUGUCAAUCUACUUCAUUUUGAUUAAUAUAGAAAGGAUUGAGGAGCUUUUUGUCAAGUGAGUGGUGUAUGUUUGAAUAUAACAUGGCUAAAAUGGAAUGUGUUCACGCUGAAAGAGAUUUGGUAAUUGUCAUAAUGCUCGAAGAACUUCCUGUAGACGUUCUACCUUUGCAAUUAAAGCAUCAAGUCAAAAUGCAGAGUUAUAUAUGUUUUCCGACGGAGAACGCGACGACAAGUGAUGUUUUCUGGAAAAAUCUAAAAAUGUCUAUACGAGAAGGUUAAUAAGAGUAUGAUCGAUUUAAAUUAUAUGUCAAAUUUAUAACGGUAUCACUGAAAGAAUAUUUUGUAAUUUUCUUCUUUAUACGUGUGCAUCAAAAUUAUGAAUUUAUGUAUGUGUGAGAGAGACUGAAAUCUUACAGAAAAUUGCUAUACUGUUCAGUAAAUAUUUAUUACAACCUUUAACUUUAAUUAACAAAAAUCAUGUUGUUUCUUUGUAUGCAGUCACAGUCAUUUGUAUAUUUUCAACAUCAAUAUUUCGUUGAUCAUUGUAUAAUUUGUUUUAUGUGCUAAUUGCUUGCGAUUGUGUAUUAUCAAUUUAAUAUAAACACUUGUUCGUAAUUUUCUUUCUGUAAUAUAUUUGGAAUCGAGGAACCCGUUUUUGCAUUGUUUUUCCCACUUCUAAUCUGUAACAAAUAAAGAUUUUACAUUUGA